CUACGGGGCGCUGCAGUGGGGAAUAUUGGGCAAUGGGGGAAACCCUGACCCAGCAACGCCGCGUGAAGGAAGAAGGUCUUCGGAUUGUAAACUUCUUUGAUCAGGGACGAAAAAAAUGACGGUACCUGAAGAACAAGCCACGGCUAACUACGUGCCAGCAGCCGCGGUAAUACGUAGGUGGCAAGCGUUAUCCGGAUUUACUGGGUGUAAAGGGCGUGUAGGCGGCUCUGCAAGUCAGAUGUGAAAUUCCCAGGCUUAACCUGGGCGCUGCAUCUGAAACUGUAGAACUUGAGUACUGGAGAGGAUAGUGGAAUUCCUAGUGUAGCGGUAAAAUGCGUAGAUAUUAGGAGGAACACCAGUGGCGAAGGCGGCUAUCUGGACAGUAACUGACGCUGAGGCGCGAAAGCGUGGGGAGCAAACAGGAUUAGAUACCCGCGUAGUC
rnacentral:rRNA from 1 species